CACGCCGUAAACGUUGCACAUUUGCCGUGGGGGGAAUUGACCCCCCCCGUGGCGCAGCUAACGCGAUAAAUGUGCCGCCUGGGGAGUACGGCCGCAAGGUUAAAACUCAAAGAAAUUGACGGGGGCCCGCACAAGCGGAGGAGCAUGUGGCUUAAUUCGAUGCAACGCGAAGAACCUUACCUAGGCUUGACAUGUGACUGCACGCCCUGUGAAAGCAGGGCUCCUUCGAGGGUGUCACACAGGUGC
rnacentral:rRNA from 1 species